CCCCAAGGUGACUAGGGGUCCCCAAGCCCCUAGUCACCCACCCACCCCCAAAUAAAAAGUCCCUACCUACCCCCCUCACCCUAAAAAAUAGUGAGGGGGGAAUAAAAUAACUAACCUGUAAAAUAAAAGUAAACUUACCAUUCGACGUCUUCUUUUUUCUCAAAUCUUCUUUUUUCAGCCCCAAAAAAGGCCAAAUAAAAAACCAUCAUAACCGUCGAAUUGAAAAUAAAAUAAAAAUCCUGAGCGCAAAAAAAAACCUGACGAAAAAGAAAAAACCCGAGCGCAAAAAAAUAAUCCAUCUUCACCCAUGGAGGGCUCCGCGCAGACUGAGCUCUGCAGGGCGGGGGAAGGCUUAUAAAGCCUUGCCACGCCCUGCAAUUAGGCUAAGAACACUCUGAUUGGUGGGUUUAAGCCAAUCAGAGUGCUCUUUGUCAUUUUACACAGCG
rnacentral:lncRNA from 1 species